UUCAGUGCGGCAGUCCGGGAGGAAGUAGUGAGAUGCUCUUAGAGAAGAAUCUUCGAAUUCACCCUUCCGAGUUUGCCUCAAACAAAAUGCUAAACGUAGUAGAAAAAGGAAGAUUCGAUGAGAAUCGAGUGAGUGUAGUAGGACGUAAUGGCCAAUCUUUCGUCCUGUGGAGAAAAUCCUUGAUAGAAAAGAGAGGAUUACUGAAAAACUCCGUAACGUUGUGUCCGAACGAAAGCAAGUUUAUCCUCAAACUAUCUCUAACACCAGGAACACUGAAUCAACUCGUCAGGUUUUUAUAAAUCUAGUCUUUAAAAGUUAAUUUUCCGCUCGAUAUACAAGUAUAUUACGUAACAAUACGAGUAAUCGUACUGAAUGAAAAAUCCCCCGUCUGUUUAAAAACAUUGGUACGAGUAUCUAAAAUAAUUUGCAUACGUUAACAACCGGAACGAAAAAAAACAUUGGCGAAAUCCAAUUAUUCGUUUAUCUGUUUGACUCGAGGAUAUUUUUGACAGACAAAAGUGUUACUUUUACUUCUGCAGACGAUGCAUUCCGAAUGUCCUUAUUGGGAAAACGUUACCACAUUAGCCCAUUAGUAAAAAUAUGGUUUUAUUAUCUCGUCGGAAUGAUUUAUUCUCACUCUCACCACGUUUAUUGUAUUCAUUGUUUGGCCGUCAGACACCACGAAAAACAGUUGCAAUAUUAUAGUUUCUAACGAUUGAAUAGCACUGACGAAAGCAUAUCACGUUCUGACGAUUUCAAAUCGUGCGAAGAAACUAAUAUUUACGAGUUAUUGACGUGUCCUGCCUACGUCAAGGUGGAGGAACAUCAUCCGUUGCUCGGACUUCGCACCCGGGUGAAAGAACCGGAACAUCUAAAAGACAUCGCGAAAAACUUCAAUAAUGAUUUUCGAUCGGCAAGACAAUUUCCCGCUGGGAAAAAUGUGACCCAACUACUGGCAGCAAUUUCUGCUAACGUUAAACAGCGAAAACAUUCCAAUUAUUUUCUGUUACUCGCCUUAACUCUGGCGAGAAAAGGAAUAUUGUCAGAAAAAAUAAAAAGACGGAAGACAACUUGCUGUUUAUGGCCGAUAUCUGGGUACCGGAAAACUACAUUGUAGACUCAAUUAAAUUGCCAAUCAUCCAUCGUAGAUCCGGAGGAAUUAAGGUUUUGGUCGGUGUUAAGCGUAGUUAUUCGCGGUGUUUCGUGUACGAAAGAGGCAUCUGCGACCCAAACGGAGUCGUACCGUUAGAAAAACUGAAAUUGUUGCCAAAGCGAAGCUUUCAUAUAAUUUCGGUUAAAGUUCCGAAAGAGGAAAUCGAUUCGAUUAAAAUUAAGGUUCUAAACAAAAGGAAUUACGUUCCAAUAUACGAUUUCCGAGAGGAAAGUACGAGAGGUGAAUACGAAAAGACGAAAUUUAUCUGUGAUAUUAACGUUAUUUAAAAUUUAAUAAAGGCUUUAUCGUAGGACGAGUCGGUGUUUUUAACAGAAGAAUCCUUCGUUUGUAGAAGUUUUAAUUCGAACGAUGCGUAUGAAUUUUAGAAAAUAACGAAAAAUUCUAUUUAUUUAUUUAAUAAUAAAUAAUAAAAUCCCAUCUUUACCGCGAAUAGAAAUGAUUUUACCUGGUGUAUCGUUGUGAUAU